UCUGGUCAUAUGAGCUUCACAUUUAUUCCCUAGCCAGAUUUUUGACAGAUUGUAGGUAAAGUUGAUAACCAAAGAGAGUUUGAAAUUUCUUUUCACCAUCUCCCUGGUUAUUCAUUUACUGUGAAGUAUAUUUACUGUGAAGAACAACUGAGAGAGAAUCACUACCUUAAUAUAUGAUGGUGAUGCUAUAUUUUGUUGUUUUAUUAUAAUG
rnacentral:lncRNA from 1 species